CCUACGGGUGGCAGCAGUGAGGAAUAUUGGUCAAUGGCCGAAAGCCUGAACCAGCCAAGUCGCGUGAGGGAAGACGGCCCUACGGGUUGUAAACCUCUUUUGUCGGGGAGCAAAGCGAGUCACGUGUGACUCAUUGAGCGUACCCGAACAAAAGCACAGGCUAACUCCGUGUCAGCAGCCGCGGGAAUACGGGGGAUGCGAGCGUUAUCCGGAUUUAUUGGGUUUAAAGGGUGCGCAGGCGGAGGUGCAAGUCAGCGGUAAAAGUGCGGGGCGAAACCCCGUACUGCAGUUGAAACUGGAUUACUUGAGUGCGCGAGAGGUAUGCGGAAUGCGUGGUGUAGCGGUGAAAUGCAUAGAUAUCACGCAGAACUCCGAUGGCGAAGGCAGCAUACCGGCGCGCAACUGACGCUGAUGCACGAAAGCGUGGGUAUCGAACAGGAUUAGAUACCCUGGUAGUC
rnacentral:rRNA from 1 species